rnacentral:rRNA from 1 species
GAUGAACGCUGGCGGCGUGCCUAAUACAUGCAAGUCGAGCGAACAGAUGAGGAGCUUGCUCCUCUGACGUUAGCGGCGGACGUGUGAGUAACACGUGUAUAACCUACCUAUAAGACUGGUAUAACUUCGGGAAACCGGAGCUAAUACCGGAUAAUAUAUUGAACCGCAUGGUUCAAUAGUGAAAGACGGUUUUGCUGUCACUUAUAGAUGGAUCCGCGCCGCAUUAGCUAGUUGGUAAGGUAACGGCUUACCAAGGCAACGAUGCGUAGCCGACCUGAUAGGGUGAUCGGCCACACUGGAACUGAGACACGGUCCAGACGCCUACGGGAGGCAGCAGUAGGGAAUCUUCCGCAAUGGGCGAAAGCCUGACGGAGCAACGCCGCGUGAGUGAUGAAGGUCUUCGGAUCGUAAAAAUCUGUUAUUAGGGAAGAACAAAUGUGUAAGUAACUAUGCACGUAUUGACGGUAACUAAUCAGAAAGCCACGGCUAACUACGUG